rnacentral:rRNA from 1 species
CCUACGGGAGGCAGCAGUGGGGAAUAUUGGACAAUGGGCGCAAGCCUGAUCCAGCAAUGCCGCGUGUGUGAAGAAGGCCUGCGGGUUGUAAAGCACUUUUGUUCGGGAAGAGAACGUGCCGGUUAAUACCCGGUAUGGAUGACGGUACCGAAAGAAUAAGCACCGGCUAACUUCGUGCCAGCAGCCGCGGUAAUACGAAGGGUGCAAGCGUUAAUCGGAAUUACUGGGCGUAAAGGGUGCGUAGGCGGCUUUUUAAGUCGGAUGUGAAAUCCCCGGGCUCAACCUGGGAAUGGCAUCCGAUACUGGGGAGCUAGAGUUUGGGAGAGGGUGGUGGAAUUCCCGGUGUAGCGGUGAAAUGCGUAGAGAUCGGGAGGAACAUCAGUGGCGAAGGCGACUCCCUGGACUCAAACUGACGCUGAGGCACGAAAGCGUGGGUAGCAAACAGGAUUAGAUACCCUGGUAGUCCACGCCGUAAACGAUGUCGACUAGCCGUUGGGCCCUUUUAGGGUUUAGUGGCGCAGCUAACGCAUUAAGUCGACCGCUUGGGGAGUACGGCCGCAAGGUUAAAACUCAAAUGAAUUGACGGGGGCCCGCACAAGCGGUGGAGCAUGUGGUUUAAUUCGAUGCAACGCGAAGAACCUUACCUACCCUUGACAUGUCUGAAAUCCCUGAGAGAUUGGGGAGUGCCUUCGGGAAUCAGAACACAGGUGCUGCAUGGCUGUCGUCAGCUCGUGUCGUGAGGUGUUGGGUUAAGUCCCGUAACGAGCGCAACCCUUGUCCUUAGUUGCCAGCGCGUAAUGGCGGGAACUCUAGGGAGACUGCCGGUGAUAAACCGGAGGAAGGUGGGGACGACGUCAAGUCAUCAUGGCCCUUAUGGGUAGGGCUACACACGUGCUACAAUGGCCGGUACAGAGGGCUGCGAACUUGCGAAAGUAAGCUAAUCCCAGAAAGCCGGUCCCAGUCCGGAUUGGAGUCUGCAACUCGACUCCAUGAAGUCGGAAUCGCUAGUAAUCGCGAAUCAGAAUGUCGCGGUGAAUACGUUCCCGGGCCUUGUACACACCGCCCGU